rfam:TPA: Bos taurus chromosome 7, whole genome shotgun sequence.
UAGCUCAGUUGGUAAAGAGUCUGCCUGCAAUGCAGGAGACCUGGGUUCAAUUCCUGG